rnacentral:rRNA from 1 species
GAUGAACGCUGGCGGCGUGCCUAAUACAUGCAAGUCGAGCGAACAGACGAGGAGCUCGCUCCUCUGACGUUAGCGGCGGACGGGUUAGUAACACGUGCAUAACCUACUUAUAUUACUGGGAUAACUUCGGGAAUCCGGAGCUAAUACCGGCUAAUAUAUUGAACCGCCUGGUUCAAUAGUGAUAUACGGUUUUCCUGUUACUUAUAGAUGGAUCCGCGCCGCAUUAGCUAGUUGGUAAGGUAACGGCUUACCAAGGCAACGAUGCGUAGCCGACCUGAGAGGGUGAUCGGACACACUGGAACUGAGCCACGGUCCAGACUCCUACGGGAGGCAGCAGUAGGGAAGCUUCUCCAACGGGCGAAAGUCUGACCCAGCAACAGCGCGGGAGUAAAGAAAAAGUUGAAGUCGGAAAAAGGUAUUAUAAGGCAAGAACAAAUGAAGAGGUAGCUAUGGACAGAGUGACGGUACAAAGACAGAAAGACACGGAUAACUACAGU